rnacentral:rRNA from 1 species
ACAGAGGGUGCGAGCGUUAAUCGGGAUUACUGGGCGUAAAGCGCACGCAGAUGGCUUUGUAAGUUGGAUGUGAAAUCCCCGGGCUUAACCUGGGAACUGCAUUCAAAACUGCAUCGCUCGAAUGUGGAAGAGGGAAGCGGAAUUCCGGGUGUAGCGGUGAAAUGCGUAGAUAUCCGGAGGAACAUCAGUGGCGAAAGCGGCUUCCUGGUCCAACAUUGACAUUCAGGUGCGAAAGCGUGGGGAGCAAACAGGAUUAGAUACCCUGGUAGUCCACGCCAUAAACGAUGCGAACUAGAUGUCGGGAGGGUCAGCCUCUCGGUGUCGCAGCUAACGCGGUAAGUUCGCCGCCUGGGGAGUACGGCCGCAAGGUUG